GAUGAAGAACGUAGCGAAAUGCGAUAAGUAAUGUGAAUUGCAGAAUUCAGUGAAUCAUCGAAUCUUUGAACGCACAUUGCGCCCUCUGGUAUUCCGGGGGGCAUGCCUGUUCGAGCGUCAUUAUAACCACUCAAGCUCUCGCUUGGUAUUGGGGUUCGCGGUUUCGCGGCCCCUAAAAUCAGUGGCGGUGCCUGUCGACUCUACGCGUAGUAAUACUUCUCGCGAUUGAGUUCGAUAGGUCUACUUGCCAGUAACCCCCAAUUUUUACAGGUUGACCUCGGAUCAGGUAGGGAUGCCCGCUGAACUUAAGCAUAUCAAUAAGCGGAGGA
rnacentral:misc_RNA from 1 species